CAUGUACUCCCUCCAUCCCAAAAUUCUUGUCUUAGAUUUGCCUAGAUACGGAUGUAUCUAAUACUAAAACGUGACUUGAUACAUCCGUAUUUAGACAAAUCUAAGAUAAGAAUUUUGGGACGGAGGGAGUAUAAC
rnacentral:pre_miRNA from 1 species